rnacentral:tRNA from 1 species
GCAUCCGUAGCUCAGCUGGAUAGAGUACUCGGCUACGAACCGAGCGGUCGGAGGUUCGAAUCCUCCCGGAGCACCA